UACGAAGGGGGCUAGCGUUGUUCGGAAUUACUGGGCGUAAAGGGCGUGUAGGCGGUGUGUCAAGUCAGGCGUGAAAGCCCCGGGCUCAACCUGGGAACGGCGCUUGAGACUGGCACGCUCGAGUUCGGGAGAGGAUGGUGGAAUUCCCAGUGUAGAGGUGAAAUUCGUAGAUAUUGGGAGGAACACCGAUGGCGAAGGCAGCCAUCUGGACCGACACUGACGCUGAGGCGCGAAAGCGUGGGGAGCAAACAGG
rnacentral:rRNA from 1 species